CACACCCAAGUGUUUAGAAAGAAUUUUCGUCUCUCAGUCUUUGUAACCCAACUGGGCUAAAAAUUUAUCCGACUGACUUCCGACUUGAUUUCAAACUACUAUCCCUGUUGUAUCAUCCGCAGUAUGUAACCUUGUCACCUCAUCUAUUUCCCUUUUGACUUUUCCUCUGGGACAGAGUUCAGUUUGAUUAUUCAUGCAUCUUCUUUUGGGAGAAAGAAUCUGGCCCAAUACAGAAUGUUUCCGAAUGGGGAAAGAAAAACCUGCUGUUUGUAGCUCUGACCAUCAAAAUAAGAGCAACACCCCUCCCCGUGUCAAUCCCCAGAAUCGUUUAAUAUCAUCAUAACCAAUUUUAUUUACCCUGCAGGGUUUACCCCUAAAGCGAUCUGUGAAUAUUAAUCCCUUCCGCAAGCUGAUAUCACCAACCCAGCCGUGCACAGAGCCAGGGAACCCCGGCCCUGAACCGUCCAGCCUGGCCCCAGCCUGCUGUGAGCCCCCAGAGGAAUCCCACAGUGCUCUUCAAGCUGCAGCAGGGGGAGCACCGUGGGUAUUUACUGAUAUUUCAUUUUAACCAAUGACCAUCGGGACACAUCAAGGUAGCUGAUGUCGUAGGCAUAUGGGCCCCCUGGGAGCUGAUACAUUUUUUCAACCCUGCUCUGCCUGCCAGCUAGUAGACAUGAACAAGUGGAUGAAGGCAUUCUGGAUUUCGUGAAGGUUUCUCAUCUGGCUUUUAAAAAACCCAUCAACGCUGGAAAACCCAAGGCCUCUGUGAGCAUACCAUGGCCUUUAAAGAGAGUCCUGUGCCUGGAACCCCUGAAAUAUAUACUGGGGUUAAUACACUUAAAGGUGGCUUCAGAAGCAAAGUAACAUCGAGGCCCUAAUUCCGGAACUGGCCCUGCCCGUCUGUCACUGUCUUCCGGUGGGGUGGCAGCCAUGGGAUCCGAAGGCGACUUCUGAUUUCAGGCUCCCUCCUUGUGGUUGGUCUGUCCGACUUGAUUCAGGACUUGGGCAAGGACACAUUGUCCUUCUGGGACAGCUGUUGCCUUCUUGUUUGUCUCGUUUUGUGUCCUGAGAACUUGGCUCGGCGACCGUCAGGUUGGGCAGAUAUAACAGAAAUGUUAAAAAGCGUAUUACAGCCUGACACUGACACCCCUCAUGACCUACUUCCUGGAGAAUACAGCCACUGGAAAAGACCCCAACUAAAGGACUCCUGCUUCCCUCCUUGGAAAGGAUCUUUUCUGGUACUGCUCGCCAGUUCCUGCACAGCUAAAUUUGAAGGCAUCCGGCCCACCUGAAAGGAGUAACAGGACCAGAAUGAACCAGCAAAGCCACAGGUGAUCUCACACUUAAGAUCUCCCGGCACCAGAAGCAGACAACCUCGGACAUAGAUAGACAGCUAUCCCAAGACAACGGGCCAGGCCUGUGUAACUUAACUUGAUUUCCGCCACUGUUCUCUUUACUGUGGAAAUCAUGAUAGGGGAAGUUAACCAGACUCCUCCACUUAUCUGUUUUCUCUCCGGGUUGCCCGUGUCUUCCAGGCAAUUGCCAAGCGAGGUAACCUUUCAGACGCUGUAUUUGUCAUUUAAAACUCCGAUCUGUCUGUAAGGUUGGAGACUCCCCGGUCCUUCCUGUAACCUGAUUUUCCUUCUAUCAUCCUUGGUGCCACCUUAAGCAACAGCUGAAGUCCCUUCGAUGUCAGCUACAGUGUUAAACUUUUGCAGCCCAGUCUCUCAGUGCCUUAUUUUUACCUUUCUCUGAUCAUAACUCUCCUUGCCCUGUCUGACACAAAUGCCUUGUACACCGUAGUACAUUUGUGCCCCCAUGUUCUAAAUCAGAUUUCAGAGGAUUUGUCUCUUACCUUCUGAAGAUGUUACACUGCUUAGGUUUAUUGUUCAGUUACAUGGGAAGCGUUGCCAACUAAGUGAUGAUAAAUCUUCUUGGGUUAUUUGUAUUUUAAUAACACUUAAUUAUUAAUAUAAUUAAGUGUUCUAGAAAUUGUGUGAAAUUCCUAGAAAUCUGAUAUGUCUUGGUAUAAGGUUAUCAGUCAUAAUUCUGGUUAUCUUAAAAUAUUGUCUGUCAAUCACAGAAAUAACCAAAUUUCCUUGUCAAUUCCAUUAUAAUGAACUCUCAUCAGAUCUUUAGCACUGGGCAUUUUUAAGUUCUUUUGUCAUUGACAGACAGUUAUUGUUUUACUCUGACGCUUUUGCAAAAGUGAGAUUCAUGGCAAGGAACCUACCAAGAACUCUUGACCACCACAUGGCUGCCACAUCACAAGGGGCCAAACCUUGGGUACGUACUUCACACCUGAUGAAGGCUCCACCUGACUUCCGGUCCCGUGCAAAAAAGCUGCAGCCCUCAAACCAAUCAAACCGACCAGCCACCAUCGAGACAGACAGACAGACUGCUUCCUCCCAACAUGUCAGACCAAGAGCGUGUCUGCCUUUCCAUUCUGCCUUCCCUCUCUGACCGUCCUUUUCCUAAUUCUCACGCUGUGAAGGUUUUUAUGAUUCUUGCUGUCCAUCUUUUUUGCUUUGCUCUGGCCUGGAAAGAUAAUGCCACUGUUCACAUAUCUAAGGCCAUUGCAAAGCGGGCUAAAUCUAACCUCAAAGACUCUGAAUUAUCACGAUGCCAGUGAUUACACUGUUCUGUCCAUCACAGACUGCUCCCUGAUUUCCAAUGCCUCCGUUUCUCUGGACCAAACAGCCAGCCCACCUUUCUGUUGUGUCCCACUCCCUAACCCUGGGGAUCUACUUCCUUGUCUCUGGUUAACACCCCAGGGAACCCUGCAUCCAGGCUCUGUACAAAGAAAGGGACGCGAGGCAAGGGAAAGAGAAUAAAACCACCUGUGCUGUCUACAGACCCUUCAGGUGUACUGGCCUCCACGGCUGUCACCUUUUGGGGCCCGAGCCACAGAUGGAAACGGGAAUUACCAGGAAGCAUUCAGUGGUUCAAAAUCUGCUUCCUUUGGUACAGCCCCACUCAGCCGGCCAGGAGCUGAUGCAAAUGAGGCCACGACCAGGAAUCUCUCCUUACCUCUUGAAGGUUCCAGAAUCUGCUGGUAAAGCAACAGCUGCCCAAUGAAAAUCCCUAGACUCUCUGGCCAGAGUUGUUCUUGAAAAUAAGAGAAGCCUCUGGUUGAUUAUCCUUCAGCUGAACAAGGAGACGCCUGUGCUGUGACCAGCACCGCCUGCUGCACCUGGAUCAACACUGCUGGGGAAGGUGAGACUACUGAACAAACCAGUCACUCUCUUAGGCCAACAAACCAGCCCACGGGAUCUUUCUUUGGGGAUUAUUCUGCCUAUAAUACUACAGCAGUCGCCUUAGUGUGCUGUAUUCUCGCAAAAGCUUUAAAUGCAACUUUGCAGCCACUGGCUACCAAGCAAAUGAUCUCCCUCAGAACAGAACAUCCGAAAAGGAACGAAGAGAAUGACCGACUGAAAGACCAUGAACCCAGUGCCGUGACCUGUGAAGACCACACAGAGAUUCAGCAAAAAAACCCCGGUAAGAACUCCAAAGCCACAGCUGGGAGUAGCGCUAAUGCCUUAAACUUUGAUCACUUCUCUUAAUUAGGCUCAGAGUCUGAUGAAAAGGGGGUAAUGGUUAAAAACAAGACAGCAGACUCAAAAUGAAGUCACUUAGGCUAGGUUCCAUAUCACCAAACCGAGACUUAACUUUUAUAGUUUCAGCUCCCCCAGAAAGGAGUCUUUAACCAGUCAAAUCGGGACUCGCCGGAUCAGCACGUCUGCCCGACAGACCCCUGCCGUCCCCUAACGGAGAGCGACUGGGCUACAACCAACCCGCUUUUUCAGCUGGUGUAACUUCCUCGUUCCCGCUCCUUUCUGCCUGCAUGUCUUUCGUUUUGUACAGCUCCUUUCUAUCUGCCUGAUUCAUGAAUCACUGAAAUAAAGCCAGUAAGCUCUUUCAAAUAUACUCAGUCGAAUUCUUUUAACACCACCUUCCUCUCAAAGGCUCAGCCCCUGUUUUCCGAAUCCCCCAUCUGCCAGCUCAGGGCACUUGCAGUAAAAAUUGUUCCGCGUCUCCCCACUUUGGGUCAGGAUCUUGUCCUACCCUACUUCUCAGGCUGAAGUCUCGCUCUUUCUCUACAGCAAAAUGACACUGCUGUUGCCCAGACACCCCUGCUUGUUUCUGCAUCUGUGCUGCUUUCGCCCUUGAACUGGCCUCCACCCUUCGAGACCCCCUCCUCGCACCCCGGGCCUUGGAAGGGAUCCCUCUCCCCUUGGAAACCUUUUAGCAUUUUGUUUAAAGUCUCAGGGUAUUUAAUA